UUUGAUUUAGUUUAGUGGCGGACGGGUGAGUAACGCGUGAGUAACCUGCCUUCAAGAGGGGGAUAACAUUCUGAAAAGAAUGCUAAUACCGCAUGAUAUAUCGGAAUCACAUGGUUUUGAUAUCAAAGAUUUUAUCGCUUGAAGAUGGACUCGCGUCCGAUUAGUUAGUUGGUGAGGUAACGGCUCACCAAGACCGCGAUCGGUAGCCGGACUGAGAGGUUGAACGGCCACAUUGGGACUGAGACACGGCCCAGACUCCUACGGGAGGCAGCAGUGGGGGAUAUUGCGCAAUGGGGGCAACCCUGACGCAGCAACGCCGCGUGAAGGAUGAAGGUCUUCGGAUUGUAAACUUCUUUUAUUAAGGACGAAACUUGACGGUACUUAAUGAAUAAGCUCCGGCUAACUACGUGCCAGCAGCCGCGGUAAUACGUAGGGAGCAAGCGUUGUCCGGAUUUACCGGGUGUAAAGGGUGCGUAGGCGGCUUUGCAAGUCAGAUGUGAAAUCUAUGGGCUCAACCCAUAAACUGCAUUUGAAACUGUAGAGCUUGAGUGAAGUAGAGGCAGGCGGAAUUCCCCGUGUAGCGGUGAAAUGCGUAGAGAUGGGGAGGAACACCAGUGGCGAAGGCGGCCUGCUGGGCUUUAACUGACGCUGAGGCACGAAAGCGUGGGUAGCAAACAGGAUUAGAUACCCUGGUAGUCCACGCUGUAAACGAUGAUUACUAGGUGUGGGGGGUCUGACCCC
rnacentral:rRNA from 1 species